GAAAUGCGAUAAGUAAUGUGAAUUGCAGAAUUCAGUGAAUCAUCGAAUCUUUGAACGCACCUUGCGCUCCUUGGUAUUCCUUGGAGCAUGCCUGUUUGAGUAUCAUGAAAUCUUCAAAGUAAAUCUUUUGUUAACUCAAUUGGUUUCUACUUUGGUAUUGGAGGUCUUUGCAGCUUCACACCUGCUCCUCUUUGUUCAUUAGCUGGAUCUCAGUGUUAUGCUUGGUUCCACUCGGCGUGAUAAGUUAUCUAUCGCUGAGGACACUGUAAAAGGUGGCCAAGGUAAAUGCAGAUGAACCGCUUCUAAUAGUCCAUUGACUUGGACAAUACUUUUAUGAUCUGAUCUAAAAUCAGGUAGGACUACCCGCUGAACUUAAGC
rnacentral:misc_RNA from 1 species